CGACACUCUAAUCAUAAAUUCUGUGUUCUCAACAGGUAUAUUCAUCCUAGACACCAAUUUCAUGCACACAUAUGAAUGAGUAGAACCGGGAUCAAUCAAAGCAAUAACAUUAACAUUAUAGAGAGAAAAUGUACCGGUAAUCACAUCAGGUGAGGAAGCAUCUUCAGGCGCUUUAAUAGCAUAAGUUCUAGCCGGAGCCCUUCCUUCAGGUCUAACCG
rnacentral:lncRNA from 1 species